GACGAACGCUGGCGGCGUGCUUAACACAUGCAAGUCGAACGGAAAGGCCCUGCUUUUGUGGGGUGCUCGAGUGGCGAACGGGUGAGUAACACGUGAGUAACCUGCCCUUGACUUUGGGAUAACUUCAGGAAACUGGGGCUAAUACCGGAUAGGAGCUCCUGCUGCAUGGUGGGGGUUGGAAAGUUUCGGCGGUUGGGGAUGGACUCGCGGCUUAUCAGCUUGUUGGUGGGGUAGUGGCUUACCAAGGCUUUGACGGGUAGCCGGCCUGAGAGGGUGACCGGCCACAUUGGGACUGAGAUACGGCCCAGACUCCUACGGGAGGCAGAAGUGGGGAAUAUUGCACAAUGGGCGGAAGCCUGAUGCAGCAACGCCGCGUGCGGGAUGACGGCCUUCGGGUUGUAAACCGCUUUCGCCUGUGACGAAGCGUGUGUGACGGUAAUGGGUAAAGAAGCACCGGCUAACUACGUG
rnacentral:rRNA from 1 species